AAUUUAUUUAAAAACCCUAAACAGCAUCCUUGUUAAGAAUAGUAGUUCAGUUGUGUUAAAUGUGUUUGUGUGUGACUCUGAACACAGCAGCUCGGUGGUAGGUUCGUUAACGUAAAUGUUCUAUGUACGUGGGUUUGUGUAUAGAGUUUUGCUUUGCUUUUGGCAUAGAAUAUGAACGUCGCUGAUGAUGUUGGUGCUGGCUGUGGCUGUUUAGUAGUAGUUGGCAUCGUACGCUUAUAAGUAACGGGAAAAAGACACACAAAUUGCAAAUUUAGUUUAGAACGUGGGCUUGAACGAGAUGGUUCGCUUUUAGUCUUAUAAAAUAUUCAGAACAAAAAAAUCAAACGUUUCAUAUAAAAAUAAUAUUUAUUGAGAAAAAAAUUUCUGUGUAAAAAAAAUCUGAGAAAUUUAAAUCUUUGUCGAGCAAUUUUAAAUAUAGCUUUGCUUUGCUGCAGAAAGCUAUUGAUGUAAAAUUCUUUAAAAAUAUAUAUAAGAAAUAUACGAAAUAAAUAUCUAUAGUAAUAUUUUUUUUCUGGCAACUAUAAGGAUAAAAUUUUACAAAAAAAAAACGUUUUAUCUCUUUUUAUUUCAAAAGCCAGCCACAGUGAAGAAAAAUAAAUAGAAAAUUUGGCAAAAUAAGCUAGUAGUAUAAUAAUAAUAAGAAAGAAAAGAAAAAAAAAUUGAAAUGAAAAUUUGUUAUGGAAAAUGCAAUGAAGUGUAAAGUGAAUUUAUUUUGAAAAUAAAUAAUCCUACAAUAUCAACUUCUUAAAAAUCUAUAAUAAAACAUCGAGUGCUAGUAAAAAAACCGGAAAACUUAUUAAAACUCAGCAGAAGCAAGAAAAAAAAUUAACAUCACGUAAAAUAAAAACUUCAAAAAAUUAUUGCCACAACAUCAUCCCGUAAAAUGCAAGUAAAUUUCAAAGUAAUUUCAUUUAAAAGUUAAAUUGUAUAACAAUAAA